rnacentral:rRNA from 1 species
UGAGGAAUAUUGGUCAAUGGGCGAGAGCCUGAACCAGCCAAGUCGCGUGAAGGAUGACUGCCUUAUGGGUUGUAAACUUCUUUUAUACAGGAAUAAAAAGAGAUACGUGUAUUUCAUUGCAUGUACUGUAUGAAUAAGCAUCGGCUAACUCCGUGCCAGCAGCCGCGGUAAUACGGAGGAUGCGAGCGUUAUCCGGAUUUAUUGGGUUUAAAGGGUGCGCAGGCGGGAUUUUAAGUCAGCGGUGAAAUCUAGUGACUCAACCACUAACUUGCCAUUGAAACUGAAGUUCUUGAGUAUAGACGAGGUAGGCGGAAUUCGUUGUGUAGCGGUGAAAUGCAUUAGAUAUAACGAGGAACCCCGAUUGCGUAGGCAGCUUACCAGACUAUACUGACGCUCAUGCACGAAAAGUGUGGGUAUCAAACA